GAGGUCCCGAGCGUUGUUCGGGUUCACUGGGCGUAAAGGGUGCGUAGGCGGCUUUGCAAGUCUGAUGUGAAAUCUCCGGGCUCAACCCGGAAAUGGCAUUAGAAACUGUGAGGCUGGAGGCUUGGAGGGGGAACUGGAAUACUUGGUGUAGCAGUGAAAUGCGUAGAUACCAAGUGGAACACCAGUGGCGAAGGCGAGUUCCUGGACAAGUCCUGACGCUGAGGCACGAAAGCUAGGGGAGCAAACAGGAUUAGAUACCCUGGUAGUCCUAGCUGUAAACGGUGCACGUUUGCUGUAAGCGGAUCGACCCGUUUGUGGCGAAGCUAACGCGAUAAACGUGCCGCCUGGGGAGUACGGUCGCAAGAUUAA
rnacentral:rRNA from 1 species